rnacentral:rRNA from 1 species
ACGAGAGGACCGGGAUGGACGUACCUCUGGUGUACCAGUUGUUCUGCCAAGGGCAUGGCUGGGUAGCUAUGUACGGAAUGGAUAAGCGCUGAAAGCAUCUAAGCGCGAAGCCAACUUCAAGAUAAGAUUUCCCACCGCAAGGGUAAGACCCCAGAAAGACUAUCUGGUUGAUAGGUCGAAGGUGUAAGUGCAGCAAUGUAUUUAGCUUAUCGAUACUAAUAGGUCGAGGACUUGACCAAU